AUUGAACGCUGGCGGCAUGCCUUACACAUGCAAGUCGAACGGUAACAGGUCUUCGGAUGCUGACGAGUGGCGAACGGGUGAGUAAUACAUCGGAACGUGCCUAGUAGGGGGGGAUAACUACUCGAAAGAGUGGCUAAUACCGCAGGAGAUCCACGGAUGAAAGCAGGGGAUCGCAAGACUUUGUGUUACUAGUGAGGCCGUUGGCAGAAUAGGUCGUUGGUGGGAUAAAAGCUUACCAAGCCGACGAUCUGUAGGUGGUCUGAGAGUGACGAUCAGCCACACUGGGACUGAGACACGGCCCAGACUCCUACGGGAGGCAGCAGUGGGGAAUUUUGGACAAUGGGCGAAAGCCUGAUCCAGCAAUGCCGCGUGCAGGAUGAAGGCCUUCGGGUUGUAAACUGCUUUUGUACGGAACGAAAAGCCCCGGGUUAAUACCCUGGGGUCAUGACGGUACCGUAAGAAUAAGCACCGGCUAACUACGUGCCAGCCGCCGCAGUAA
rnacentral:rRNA from 1 species